AGCUCAGGAAGCCGCUCCGGCUGCGAGGAGAGGCCGCCUCCCGCAGCCUCUGCGCGCCUUGGGCUCCUCCUUCCGCCCAAGCGUGGCCAAGUGAGUACUGCUCCGGCCGCAGGUAGCCGAGGCGCGGGAGGCGGCGCGCUGGACCCAGAGGAGCGCCCGGGGAGGGGCCGACGGACACGCGGACAGACGGAUUCCCCCAACCCCCGCCCGGGACAUUAGCAACGGUCUGCGCGGGCCAUGUGGGGGCCCGGGGUCACAGCCGAGGGCCUGUCGGUGGCGCCCGCACCGCCGCCGCUGCUGCCGCUGCUGCUACUGCUGACGCUGGCGCUCGUGGCGCCCUCGCGGGGCGGCGGGGGCUGCGCGGACCUGGCGUGUGGCGAGCGGGAGCGCUGCUGCGACGCGGCCAACGCCACAGCGGUGCGCUGCUGCAAGCUGCCGCUGCACGCCUUCCUCGACAACGUGGGCUGGUUCGUCCGCAAGCUCUCGGGGCUGCUUAUCCUGCUAGUGCUCUUCGCCAUCGGCUACUUCCUGCAGCGCAUCAUCUGCCCCAGCCCACGCAGGUACCCGCGCGGUCAGGCGCGGCCCGGGCAAGCACGGCCCGGGCCGCCGGGGGGCGCGGGGCCGCAGGGGGCCGCGGGGCCGCCCGACGACGACGACGACUCUCCCGCGCUAAUGCGCGACGAGGCGGCCGCCGGCUCCCAGGACUCACUGCUGGACAGUGGAGGCGGGGGCCGGGGAGGCGGAGGGCGCUCGGCCCCCUCCUGCGCCUCCGAGCACGAGCUUCGCGUAGUCUCGCCGGUCUUCCUGCAGCUGCCCAGCUACGAGGAGGUCAAGUACCUGCCCACCUACGAGGAGUCCAUGCGGCUGCAGCAGCUCAGCCCCGGGGAGGUCGUGCUGCCCGUGUCGGUGCUUGGCCGCCCACGAGGCGGCGGCGCCGGGGAGUCAGACGGCGGGGAGGGCCGCUUCCCGCUCAUCUGAGCGUCUACGGCCGCUCGAGGACCGCGCGGACAGAACGGGGCUAGGUGGGCUGCGGGUGGGACGCAACGGCCGAGGUGGUACCUGCCACCGCCAACUGCCUCAGACCCCGCCUGGUACCCGGGCCGAAUCGCCCGUCGCUCGGCGACUGGGCUGGAGUCACUCCCGUUUCCCCCCCCCCCCCCCCCCCGUUCCCCCCCCCCCCCCCCCCCCCCGAGAUCUUAAGUUUCCCUACGUUUCAUUCGGUUCAAGGAAACGUUAGGCGCGCGCGGCUGGGGCCACAGCAGCGGACAACCCAGGAGCGCAACUUCGAAGACCGUCCCUACCCUCAGCCUCUGCUCAGACUGUGUUCACUCAUUGAAAGAAACAAUGAUGA